ACCAGACUCCUACGGGAGGCAGCAGUGGGGGAUAUUGCACAAUGGGGGGAACCCUGAUGCAGCGACGCCGCGUGGGUGAAGAAGUAUUUCGGUAUGUAAAGCCCUAUCGGCAGGGAAGAAAUUGGACGGUACCUGACUAAGAAGCCCUGGCUAACUACGUGCCAGCAGCCGCGGUAAUACGUAGGGGGCAAGCGUUAUCCGGAUUCACUGGGUGUAAAGGGAGCGUAGACGGCCAUGCAAGCCUGGAGUGAAAGCCCGGGGCCCAACCCCGGGACUGCUCUGGGAACUGUGCGGCUGGAGUGCGGGAGGGGCAGGCGGAAUUCCUGGUGUAGCGGUGAAAUGCGUAGAUAUCAGGAGGAACACAGGCGGCGAAGGCGGCCUGCUGGACCGCGACUGACGUUGAGGCUCGAAAGCGUGGGGAGCAAACAGGAUUAGAUACCCCUGUA
rnacentral:rRNA from 1 species